rnacentral:rRNA from 1 species
AGAGUUUGAUCCUGGCUCAGAACGUACGCUGGCGGCACGCCUAAUACAUGCAAGUCGAACGAAGUAGCAAUACUUAGUGGCAGACGGGUGAGUAACAUGUGGGUAUCUUCCCUUUGGUGAGGAAUAACACGAGGAAACUUGUGCUAAUACCUCAUAAGUCUUUACAGAGAAAGCUUUAUGCGCCAUUGGAUGAGCCCGCACUUGAUUAGUUUGUUGGUGGGGUAAUGGCCUACCAAGACUGUGAUCAAUAGCUGAUUUGAGAGGAUGAUCAGCCACAUUGGGACUGAGACACGGCCCAAACUCCUACGGGAGGCAGCAGUAGGGAAUCUUGCACAAUGGAGGAAACUCUGAUGCAGCGAUGCCGCGUGAGUGAAGAAGGCCUUUGGGUUGUAAAGCUCUUUCGUCGGGGAAGAAAAUGACUGUACCCGAAUAAGAAGGUCCGGCUAACUUCGUGCCAGCAGCCGCGGUAAUACGAAGGGACCUAGCGUAGUUCGGAAUUACUGGGCUUAAAGAGUUCGUAGGUGGUUAAAAAAGUUGGUGGUGAAAUCCCAGAGCUUAACUCUGGAACUGCCAUCAAAACUUUUUAGCUAGAGUAUGAUAGAGGAAAGCAGAAUUUCUAGUGUAGAGGUGAAAUUCGUAGAUAUUAGAAAGAAUACCAAUUGCGAAGGCAGCUUUCUGGAUCAUUACUGACACUGAGGAACGAAAGCAUGGGUAGCGAAGAGGAUUAGAUACCCUCGUAGUCCAUGCCGUAAACGAUGUGUGUUAGACGUUGGAAAUUUAUUUUCAGUGUCGCAGCGAAAGCGAUAAACACACCGCCUGGGGAGUACGACCGCAAGGUUAAAACUCAAAUGAAUUGACGGGGACCCGCACAAGUAGUGGAGCAUGUGGUUUAAUUCGAAGAUACGCGCAGAACCUUACCAACACUUGACAUGUUCGUCGCGACUCUAAGAGAUUAGAGUUUUCGGUUCGGCCGGACGAAACACAGGUGCUGCAUGGCUGUCGUCAGCUCGUGUCGUGAGAUGUUGGGUUAAGUCCCGCAACGAGCGCAACCCUCACUUUUAGUUGCCAUCAUUAAGUUGGGCACUCUGAAAGAACUGCCAGUGAUAAGCUGGAGGAAGGUGGGGAUGACGUCAAGUCCUCAUGGCCCUUACGUGUUGGGCUACACACGUGCUACAAUGGCAUCUACAACAGGAAGCAAAACGGCAACGUUAAGCAAAUCCCGAAAAGAUGCCUCAGUUCGGAUUGUACUCUGCAACUCGAGUACAUGAAGCUGGAAUUACUAGUAAUCGCGGAUCAGCGCGCCGCGGUGAAUACGUUCCCGGGUCUUGUACACACCGCCCGUCACACCAUGGGAGUUGGUUCUACCUUAAGGCAAAGUUUAAAACCUUUGACCACGGUAUAGUCAGCGACUGGGGUGAAGUCGUAACAAGGUAACC